GACGAACGCUGGCGGCGUGCUUAACACAUGCAAGUCGAACGAAGAGCGAUGGAAGCUUGCUUCUAUCAAUCUUAGUGGCGAACGGGUGAGUAACGCGUAAUCAACCUGCCCUUCAGAGGGGGACAACAGUUGGAAACGACUGCUAAUACCGCAUACGAUCUGACCUCGACAUCGAGGGUGGAUGAAAGGUGGCCUCUAUUUAUAAGCUAUCACUGAAGGAGGGGAUUGCGUCUGAUUAGCUAGUUGGAGGGGUAACGGCCCACCAAGGCGAUGAUCAGUAGCCGGUCUGAGAGGAUGAACGGCCACAUUGGGACUGAGACACGGCCCAGACUCCUACGGGAGGCAGCAGUGGGGAAUCUUCCGCAAUGGACGAAAGUCUGACGGAGCAACGCCGCGUGAGUGAUGACGGCCUUCGGGUUGUAAAGCUCUGUUAAUCGGGACGAAAGGCCUUCUUGCGAAUAGUAGAAGGA
rnacentral:rRNA from 1 species